CAGUCGCCGCGGUAAGACAGAGGAUGCAAGCGUUAUCCGGAAUGAUUGGGCGUAAAGCGUCUGUAGGUGGCUUUUCAAGUCCGCCGUCAAAUCCCAGGGCUCAACCCUGGACAGGCGGUGGAAACUACCAAACUGGAGUACGGUAGGGGCAGAGGGAAUUUCCGGUGGAGCGGUGAAAUGCGUUGAGAUCGGGAAGAACACCAACGGCGAAAGCACUCUGCUGGGCCGACACUGACACUGAGAGACGAAAGCUAGGGGAGCAAAUGGGAUUAGAUACCCCUGUAGUCCCUGUCUCUUAUAA
rnacentral:rRNA from 1 species